GGACAGGUCUGAAUCGAACCACCCUGCUCGUUUGACUGCAGGAGGGCUGUGGUCGUGCAGGGCGGCUCCCACUGUAAGACUUUG
rnacentral:miRNA from 10 species